rnacentral:rRNA from 1 species
AUUGAACGCUGGCGGCAGGCUUAACACAUGCAAGUCGAGCGGAGAGAGGUAGCUUGCUACUGAUCUUAGCGGCGGACGGGUGAGUAAUGCUUAGGAAUCUGCCUAUUAGUGGGGGACAACAUUUCGAAAGGAAUGCUAAUACCGCAUACGUCCUACGGGAGAAAGCAGGGGAUCUUCGGACCUUGCGCUAAUAGAUGAGCCUAAGUCGGAUUAGCUAGUUGGUGGGGUAAAGGCCUACCAAGGCGACGAUCUGUAGCGGGUCUGAGAGGAUGAGCCGCAACACUGGGACUGAGACACGGCCCAGACUCCUACGGGAGGCAGCAGUGGGGAAUAUUGGACAAUGGGCGCAAGCCUGAUCCAGCCAGGCCGCGUGUGUGAAGAAGGCCUUAUGGUUGUAAAGCACUUUAAGCGAGGAGGAGGCUACUUUAGAUAAUACCUAGAGAUAGUGGACGUUACUCGCAGAAUAAGCACCGGCUAACUCUGUGCCAGCAGCCGCGGUAAUAC